CUACGGGUCGCACCAGUGAGGAAUAUUGCACAAUGGGGGGAACCCUGAUGCAGCAACGCCGCGUGAAGGAUGACGCAUUUCGGUGUGUAAACUCCUUUUAUAUGUCAAGAAAAUGACGGUAGCAUAUGAAUAAGCACCGGCUAACUCCGUGCCAGCAGCCGCGGUAAUACGGAGGGUGCAAGCGUUACUCGGAAUCACUGGGCGUAAAGGACGCGUAGGCGGGUUGGAAAGUCAGGUGUGAAAUCCUACAGCUUAACUGUAGAACUGCACUUGAAACUUCUAAUCUAGAGUAUGGGAGGGGGAGAUGGAAUUAGUGGUGUAGGGGUAAGAUCCGUAGAUAUCACUAGGAAUACCUAAAGCGAAGGCGAUCUCCUGGAACAUUACUGACGCUAAGGCGUGAAAGCGUGGGGAGCAAACAGGAUUAGAUACCCCUGUAGUC
rnacentral:rRNA from 1 species